CCCUUAGAUGUCCGGGGCUGCACGCGCGCUACACUGAAUGAAUCAGCGUGCUAGAAAACCUUGUUUGACAUGGCUAGGUAACCCAUUGAAAAUCAUUCGUGAUUGGGAUCGGGACUUGCAAAUGUGUCCCUUGAACGAGGAAUUCCCAGUAAGUGCGGGUCAUCAGCUCGCGUUGAUUACGUCCCUGCCCUUUGUACACACCGCCCGUCGCUCCUACCGAUUGAAUGCUCAGGUGAGCCAUUCGGACUUUCAUCAUGCUGGUUUCCAGUUUUGAUGAAGGAAAGUCUUGCGAACCUUAUCAUUUAGAGGAAGGAGAAGUCGUAACA
rnacentral:rRNA from 1 species